AGCCAUGAAGCUUUCCCCAAAUCAGGCUAGUUACAAGGAUGACCACCGUAGAAGAACUUCAGAUAGGCAAAACCGUCAUCCUGAGCAACGAGAAUGGAAGAGGCGCCUUAUGAGUUCAGUUGAGAGACUAAAGAAUACAUUUUGUCAACAACAUGCCCUAGAUCUCAUUUUCACGGAAGAGGGUGAUAGCCAUCUUACUGCAGAAAUGUACAUUAAUAUGUAUGGUACUGCAGAUGAGGUGGAGUGGUUUCCAUCUCUAAUAUUUCAGGUGAUUUUAUCGUUCUUUUAUAUAUAUGUCAUUACACCUGGUUCUCUUGGUAGUUGGAAUAUUGUUUCCUUUAAUCGUUGUUUGUGGCUCAAACCACCUAGUUUGAGCAGGUGUGUUUUACUUUAACCAUUGUCUUCGCUUUUAACAUCUCAUAGUAUCUUGUUUGUAAGGUUAUAAUUCUUAUUUCACACUUCAGAUUUAGAUUUCUUCCUCGAUUAAUAGUUGAUUUGUCUUUAGUACUUGAUAUAGGCAUGAGUUCGUAUUUUUGUUUUUGUUUUUGUUUUAUGUUUUUAAUAUGUAAGUUGAAAGUUUUCAUGCUGGGCAAAACCGUCUUCUGCUGUAAUUUUGUUUUUAUAAGGGCCUUGGUAAUUUAAUCUAGUCUAGGGUCUCUUGGAGUUUCUAAAAGUUCCAUAUGUGUUUCCUUUAAGUUAACGUGUAUGUGUUUAUUAGCCAGUUUCUUUCGCAAUUUUUGAUCCUAGUGAAUGAGGGAGAAGUCUUGGGAGCUCCUUUUAAAAAUAACCAUACAAUCUUCAUGUUUUUUACUUGGUUUUGGGUUAACAAAAUUAUGAGGUAAUUAUUAAUGCAUGGAUGCUUGGAGUCUCAUGCAUGCUCAUUCUACCUGUUUAUAUAUUAUUCUUUGCUUUCUAUUUACAGCAUAGGUUUUUGGUGUUUAAUGGGCUUUCACUCAAUUUUUUUAUGUGAUAUUUUACUUUAAUUUUCUCUAUGCUAUGUGGUUUGAGAAUUCUGACCACGUUGUCAUGAUAUGUUUUUACAAUUCAGGAACUCUUUGCAAAACUAAACAGGAUGGCUAGCCUGGCAGCAGAUGUGUUUGUAGGAAGGGAAAGAUUUGCUACAUCGCUAUUGAUGCGACUUACAGAAACUGUCAUCAUAUGGCUGUCAGAAGAUCAAAGCUUUUGGGAUGAUAUUGAGGAUGGACCAAGGCCUUUAGGUCCACUUGGUUUACAACAGGCAUGUAAACUUGUUAUCAUUCCUUUUGUGCUUUUGCAUUUGUAUUGGAUUGUUAAAAUUGAGCUAUUUCUUGUCUAUUUGCAGUUUUAUCUGGAUAUAAAAUUUGUCAUAUGCUUUGCUUCCCAAGGCCGGUACCUAUCAAGGAAUUUGCAUAGAGUUGUCAAUGAAAUAAUAGCUAAAGCCAUGGCUGCAUUUUCUGCUACAGGGAUGGAUCCAUAUAGGUAUGUUAUGAUAGUUCUUUUAUUAUUAUUAUUAAAUUUAUGAGAUGUUUCUCAUAACUGCGGUUCUUGUUGAAUACCGUGUAUUUAACAUUGUUGGAUUUAACAGGAAGAUGGGAAGCCCAUACUGAAAAAUUGUUAGAUGCAUGUACAAGUAUAGGAAAUUCUCAUGAAUUGCUGUAUACUUAAUAGCUUGACGCCCUUCCCCCCAAAUUUUUUUUCUCUUCCUAAAGAAGUUAGUUGGGUUUUCAGUUAGUAAAUUUCGGCAAAUAUAUUGUAUUGGCAUUGAAGCAUUUGGUUUUCGUUUUUUUCCUGUCAGCGUGCUGCCUGAUGAUGACUGGUUCAAUGACAUUUGUCAAGAUGCAAUAGAAAGAUUAAGCGGAAAGCCAAAAGCCGACCGGGAUCUAAAUAGCCCUACUGCCUCCGUUUCAGCACAAUCAAUGUCAUCCGUCAGAUCGCAUGGGAGUUCCUAGGCAUAUGUUUCCACCUUUGUAUAUUUGACAGCUAACAGAAUUGGUAAAUGGAUCUCUCCAGGCAGAUCCCUGUAUUCAUAGUAAGGCAUUUAAAUUUUUUUUUCACAUUUAAUUCUUCUUUAAACCUUGGUUAUUCUUUUCCUAGGUUCGAUGUAUGCAUGAAUCAUGGUCAUAAAGUUAGGAUUCAGCGAAUCCAACGGUCCUCCCCCUUCCCUUCCCUUCUUUUUUGCAGUUACCUUACAUUUUGGUUUGAGUGAGUCGUGAUUAUGUAAAUGUUGAUUGCUUGAUUUGUUUUUUAGUCUCCGGGAACUAAUCAUGUAUAAUUCUUUGAUAAUAUGGUUUAAAUCGUUUGUCUAUUCAUUUAAUUAUGUAUUCAAAAUAAAAUCUCGAGUCGUUCAUUUAUUAUUAUUAUUAUUGUUUGAGUACAAGAUAUCUCUAUCUGAAGUCUUUACUGCUUAGUGCUUACUCUUAUCGCAUGAGUUAAGCCGGUUAAAAUAUUUUUUUAAAAUUUAUAUUUAAUGUAUUGUUAGUAUAUAAUAUUUGUAUAUUAUUGUUUAAUUAGAGUAUAGGAUUAUUUAUAUUUAUUAUUUAAUAUUUUUAAUUUUUAAAUUUAUUUUAUUAAUAAGAUGAUAACAUUUGAUUCGAUGAUAAUAUACUAUGUAUUAAAUAUAUAUCUUAUUUGAUUUGGUUUUGAAAAUGCAAACAUGUACUUGAUACUUACAUGGGCCCAAACCCAUGCAAUUUCACCUUUUCUUUUCUGAUAAACGAGGACAUAAGAAGAUCUGUAAUAGACUUCUGAGGUUGGUCUUUAACAAUGGCCAUCACUUUUAUAAAGAAAAAAGUUUAAAUGGGCGGUGGCUAGCCCUUCAAAUUUAAAGGUGGCUACACUCAAGAAACCUAAGCUAAUGUUUGCUUCUCUCAGUGAUAUUAGAGUUUAACAGUUGCCUCACUACACCUCUCAUUGUAGGUCUUUUACUUGGUUAAACUCUAUGGUAAAUAUUUUGAAUUUAUUAUGGUUCUCUCGUUAAGGUUAUUCGUCUAAUAUUAUUUCAAUUUUUAUUAAACUCUCUGACAAGAUAUCCAAUUUCAUAAUUAUAUAUAUAUAUAUAUAUAGUUUGAUUCAAUUUUUUUCUUUUCAUUAUCUAUCCUAUUCUCUUUUCAUAACUCUUAUAAAUUUAUUACUAUAUAUAUUAUGCAACUAGAUAUUUAAAUUUUAUGUUUCAAACAUAUUAAUUAUUUUGAAUUUUCCAUCAUCGAUAAUUCUACUUAUUUAUCUAUUUAUUCAUUAUUACGAGUAUUACCAUUUUCACUAUUUCAUUUUUAUUUUUGGACAACUUAAAUGAGUAUUUGUUAUCUAUUCUUUUGUAUAUCAUUAUUUUUUUACAUAUUUAUUAUAUUUGUAUUUAUAUUUUGAUUAAUUUAUUGUAUAAUAAUUUUUAUUUAUUUUAAUUAAAUUAAAUAUCUCGAAAUCUUAAAAUUGAGGCCCUCCUAUCGUACUAGUAGGGCCUUAAUUCGAAUUCCAAGCCUAAAAAAAAAUUCAUCCGAAAUUAUGACUCUUCGCAUUUCGGGAGAAUGUCUCAUCAUCAGUAUAAGUUUGUAUUAUCUCCAUUAGCACUAUCAUAUGUGUAGGAACACUAAUUAUAAGCCCUACAUGGUACUUCCCUUUUUAUUAUAUUCUCUACCAUUUCCCUUUUUGUGCUAAAUAUUUACCUUUUAGAUUUUAAUUCAUUAUCAUCAUUAUUUUAUAACCAAAUAUUUAUUUACUUUAUAUAUCUAUAUUUUAUCUACCUAAAUACAUUUUCCUUUGAACUAAAUAUUUUUCUGCUCCUAUAUUCAUUAUAACUAUAUGUAUUUAGUUACCUACCUUAAAAAAAUUAAUUUUUUUAUACAUGCCCUUUCUACAUCUUUAUGUCUGCUUCAAUCUAUUUUUAUACCUAAAUAUAUUUUAUCUUUUUUUUUAUUUUUUUGUUUUAACAAUUUCCUUUCCCAUACCACUGAUUUUAUACUUGUAAAAAGUACCAAAUAUCUUUUCGCAUCCAUUUUUUUUUAAAAAGCUGUAAAUUUAUUUUCUUAAAAAUAAAUAAUAAAUAAAACAAAAUUAAAAAAAUCAUUUAAAACAGACAUCAAAGAUUCAAACCCAAUAACUUCAGAACCCAGAACAUACCAAGGUUCGGGCUUAGACUAGCCGAAAAAACUGGACCUUGCCCACAACAGCUCCAGAAGCCCACUUCUUCUCCGGUCAAAGUUCACCGUUCAGGACAGAGGGAUGGAGGCUUGUUCUUCCUAAAAUGGCACCGUUUUGGGUGCUAUCCUCACUGCUGGUGGACUAUUGACAAAACAGUGCCGUUUCAGCACUUUAACCUUUCUAAAACCAACCUAUAAAAUUUUUUUUUUGGUUAUCAUUUUCUUUCCUACCAUUCUCUCUCUAGCCGUCACUCACUCGCUUUCUCUCUAAAAAAUCACGCUUUUCUCCCCAAAUCCUUCUACUCCUCCUACCAGCGGCUUGAAACCUUCUCUCUCUAAAAUUCUGUCCCUUUUCCUCCCCCUCUCAAUCGGUGACUCAAACUUUUCCUAAAACCCCAAAAAAUCAAAGAAAAGGAAAAGCUUCGAUCUAACUACUGCCCUUCCCCACUUCUGUUGAUUUUUUGAUUUCUUUUUUUGGUUUUUCUUUUGUGGCUAGGGUAAAAUGGUUGCUAGAAAGCUUAGGGUUUUUUUUAUUUUUUGGUUCUGCAGUUCCUAUAUAUAUUUUUUCUUCUUUUUUGGUUCGGAUUUGCCCCUUCGAUUUUCUUCUCGAAGAGGGCAGCUCCCUUUGAGCGCUGGGGAUGCCACCUGUGCUCCCCCAGCCUCGUGAAGGAUCUGCCAGACGUGACUUUUCCGCAUCUGGCAGGGUAGUUAGUUCUGAGCAGGGUGCAAAACGCACUCUGCUAAACCAUUUUCAUCAUCUUGCUUUUUUUUUUUUCAUUUUUAGUGUUAUUUUUUGGUUUUUUGUUCUUUUGAAUCUGGUGAAGCUUACUUAGUUUUAAUCCCGAUUUAUUAAAUUUGCUUGUAUUUGUUUAAUUUGAUCUGAAUUUGUGAUCUUAAUGUUCUUUGGAUAUGUUUUUGGGCCUCAAAUUAAAGGUCCAAACCCAAUUCUCAUUGGGUUAUGAACCAAGACACCAACAGAAUAAAAUAACCCAAAAAGCAUAUAAAAUAAAAUAAAAAAAAGAAAAAAAGAAAUGGGAAUAAUAAAAACAUGUCAACAACUGUUCUUUUUUGUACAUUUUUGAAAUAAACAACAGUGUAAAAACGUAAACACUAUAUUUGAUCUAAUUUAUUAAUUUUCUUUAUUCAAAGUUUUACGCAAUUGAAAAAAAAAAAAAUUUUAAAAAAGAUAAACCACUCUUCAUCUGACACCUUAAUACUUUCAAGUUAAGUUUCCACUAAGGAAGAAAGCAACGAAAGGAGAAGGAAAAUAGUUGUUUGUUUAUUAAUCUUUCAUACAAUGCUUACCAAGUCAAUCUAAAUCUUUUUCCCUUCAUUUUUGUAUCUUAAUUAUUCUCAAAACAAGAAGAUUAAUUGGACAUACUUUUUCUAGGAGGAAUAAUUUUAUAAUCAGUUGGAAGUUUCCUUUACAAAUUAAAUAGAGAAUGUAGGAUUUGUUGUCCACGCGAAGAAAUAUUGUUUAAUCAAAUAAUUAUAUAUUAUUAGUAUUAUUAUAUAGUAUAAAAGUUACGUUUAAUUAUUUAUAUAACGUAAAUAAUUAAUUAAAGAAUGUAAAGCGGUGAAAUUUUUGACAUGUAGGGGUAGGAAGCUGAUUACCUUGUAUAAAAAAUUAAAUACACGUAACUUUUACAAUAUAUAUUUUAUAACAAGUGAGUUGAAAACUUAUGUUUAUCUCUAUAUACGUUUAUCUUUGACAAUUUGAUUAAAAAAAUAUUCCUCCGGUCCAAGGCAUCGAAUAACAACACUCCCUACACUCACCUAUAAUUUGACUUCAACACAAAAUAAUCCAAAUUAGAUGCUUAAUUAAAAAUCAAAUAUUUUACCAUAGCUAAAAUUCAAAGCCUUUACGUAAUUCUUACGCCAUUUCAAUAAAAAAAUAAUUCCUCCGAGUGGAAAACUCACUCUGAUCAUGACUAGUACCAUUAAAUAUUUUAGGGUUGCAUUCAACGAUUGAGAACUGCCAUGAAUUAGUAGGCGCCCGUAUUUUUUUAAAAUGAAAAAGACUUUAAUUCAGUAGAAUCCAACACCAAUAGGAGUUGGUAUAUAUGAUUCGAUAUACGGUACCUAGUUUGACUUGGUAUAUGCACUGCACAAAUUGGCAUACUAUAUUUUAAUCAUUUACAUGAGGUAAGAAAUGUAAGAUGGACGAAAAAUUUUCCCUUUAAAAACCGCUACUGUCCCAGCAAAACUCACCAAAACAAAAAGCAAAAAAAAAAAAAAAGAAAUGUCUCCUGCCAGUAAUCUUUCCUUGAGGUUGGCAUCGCAUCUUUCCCUUGUUUUCAAUGCUUAGAUAACGAAUGUUUGUAUUCAAAUAGCUUUUUUUACUGAUUUGAUCUUUUAAUGAAUGUUUCUUGAACCAAAAUAUUGCAUUUUUCGCCUUGGUGCAGCAACAGUAGUACGGCCAGCAAUCAUAAGCAUGCCAUUUUGAGCUUCCUAAUAGCUGCUUUUCUCGCGUUAUUGCCAGUGAAAUUGCAUUCGUUGAAUUCCCCGGGAGCUGGAUUUGACACGCACCGUGCGAUCCUCUCGGUCUUUCUCACCACUACGCUUGCGUACGCCGUCGUUUUAGCAAUCGAAAUCAACCUUGGAACCAACAACAGCCCAUAUCACCUUAUCGUGAGUAAAAUCAGUCUCUUGCUGGGCAGUGUCGGAACGGUCUGUCUUCUUUUAAUACUGGUGCGUGGUCUUGGGUAUGUCACUCUUCUAAUUUGGGCCCUCUUCCUUGUCAAGCUCAUAUAUGAAGCAUGCCAAAGCCUACAUCAGCUUUAUAGGGCAAUUUCAUUUGCCUCCGAUUUAUUCAAUGGACUGCUUGGUCGCAGUCGAGGUGGCUAUCAGAACGAAAGAAGAAUUAUGCUACCUGUUUAAAGCAAGGGGUGUUGAUAGAUACUUAAUUAAGUUUUUAGUUAAUAAAUAUGACAUAUGGUAUGUCAUGCUAAUUAAUUUGUUAAUUUAUCUUUUUUCCUGUAAUAAAAUUUUUUGUGAUUAGUAGCUAUUGAACUUUGCAAUAUAAGGAUGGCCAAGGUUGUCGAUUGCCAGCUGGGUGUCUCAAGUAAAACCUAUCAAACCAAAAGGAAACGCAAAAUGCCCCUCCCUCGUUCCAAAUCUCUUUUUUCUUAUUAUUGAAAGGAAAUUUUACUCAAUAAAAUUAAUAAACAACAUAGAUAACAACAAUACUCAUUCAAAUAAGUUCGACAAAAAAACAAGAUAAUCUAUCCUUUACUAAUCUAAAACACUUCAUUUGGUUGAAUGAUUGUGGUUAUUAGUGAUUUUCAUAUCACUACCCAGGGUAUAAUUUUGAUAAUUUUGAACUCCCACACAGCAAACACAAAUUCAAUUUUGAAUUUGUUCUUGAUCUUGAGAGAUAGUAUUAGCCUUAAUUAGGGAAUCGAUUUGUGUUUAAUGUGUGGGAGUUCCUUUCCAAAAGUGAAAAUCGAAUUUGUGUCUCUCAUGUUGAAUUUUCAUUUGCUAUGUGUUCGAGUUUAUCUCUCAAUGAAAGGUUGUGUAUUUGCUUUUAAAAUAUCUCGUCUCACUCAUGUGAACAAAUUUUAAUUAACUGUUCAACCCGGAAAAACUGGAAAUGCUGGAUUAGUGAUGAAUAAUAGCAUUUGGGAAUUUUGUUCCAAAGCUCUAUUUCACAAGCUGUCGUAGUUCUGUCGGAUGUGGAAUCUUGCCUCCAUUGUUUGCCUUUCCAUAAGCUAUGUGUGGUUUUUGAAUUGGGUGUUACUUUAUUGAGAAGAAUGGCUAUUGCUCUUUGCAUAACUGUCCCAUUUGCAGUGGAAGCAUGGUGAUUAACUUACGCAUUUGGUUGUUCGGCAUAUAGUUUUAAAGUCUUCAAUAGUUCAUUUGUUUGUCUGCUUCUAUUUGUGUGGUUGGUGAUGCUUUUUAAUACCAGAACAAGGCUGGAAAUCCAAGCUGAUGCAGCAUGUGUGGAUCUGGCCCAUAGUUGAAUAGCUGUAAUCUUUGUACUCAAGCUAUCACUUUGGUUCCAUAGUUUCGACAUGUUUUUCUCCAUUUCAAUCCCAAUAAUUGCCUUUGCCUGCCCUAAAGCCUCAUUUUCCGAUCUGAUUUCAGUUGACGGCAACAUAAGACCCAAGAGGAAAGAGGGAGAGAAAUGGCGACGGCCAAAACGGGACGGUCCACGCGAGCGUCGGCGGGAGAUGCGAAAGAAAACGGCACGAAAAUCGAGGAAGGCCUGAAUGUUUUCAAAUCCGAUAAGUCUGACGCCGAUGCUUUUGUUCAGUCCAAGUGUUCUCUCAACGACAAGGUUUCUAGCCAUUUCUUUAUUCUUCUUCUAAUCUAUUUAUUUACUACUUUUGAGUUUUUUUAAUUCAAAAUUUGAAUGUUAAACUCUGAUUAAAUGAUUUAAUUCUGAAUAGGAAAUAAGGCAAUUAUGUUCUUAUCUAUUGGAUUUGAAGAGAGCUUCUGCUGAAGAAAUGCGUAAAAGUGUAUAUGCUAAUUGUUCCGCGUUUAUGCGGUAAUGUUUUGGCCUUCCUCUAGUCCACUAUAUUUGUUGUUGUUGCUAAUUAAUUAGCUAAUUGUUGUUUAAUCAUGAUUAUGGAAACUUGAAAAAGGAAAAUAAUAAAUUUAUUCGAUCAUUUGCAUUUCCUCUACCUAGUAGUUUUUCCAAUGCAGAAUACUAACCUCAGCCAUUAGCAUUUGGUCAUAUUGAUUGCCUGUUUAGGGUAUACGAUCUCUGUUCUAAUGUUCAUAAUUAGUGGUUCAUAUUGUCAGAAAAUAUGAGAGAGCGGCGCAGGAUGAUGUGAGAAUGUGAUAUUCUCAUUACCAGAUAGGGAAAAAAUCGUUACAAAGUUUAUAUACAGAAGUUUAACCUUAAGCUGAAAGAAGAAUAAGCUAUUAAAUGCUUCACUAACUAAUCAUUACACUAACUAAAUUUUGAAAAUAAACUGUACAUAAAACGGUGUAAUUCUGAAGCUUUUGACUCUUACUGAAACGCUGUGUCCUUCUUUUCUUCUUACCCCAUUAUUAUUGAAACGAUACGUCUGGGGUCUUCUUCCUGUGGCUUUCUUCUUCAACCCGAUCACUCUGUUCAGUGAAACCACUUGUCCAGUUCUUCAAUUCUUCAAUCCUUCAAGUGUGAGCUCAAUACUCCCCCUCAAGAGGAAUGGUGAACAUCGUGAACGUUCAUCUUGCUCAAGAGUUUAUAGAAUUGAUUCGGCUGUAAUGCUUUAGUAAGAAUAUCUGCAAUCUGUAUGUUGGUUGAAAUGUGCUUUGGUUUGAUCAAGCCAGUGAGGACCUUCUCUCUAAUAAAAUGGCAAUCUAUUUCUAUGUGUUUGGUCCUUUCAUGAAACACUGGAUUUUUGCUGAUGUGUAUAGCAGACUGACUAUCUGAAUAGAGAUCCAUUGCUUCAUCUUGUUUGAUUCCAAAAUCUUCCAAAAGACUUUUGAUCCAUAUCAUUACACAGCAAGUUGAAGCCAUUGAUCUGUACUCUGCUUUAGCUGAACUCCUUGCAACUACUGACUGUUUCUUUGAUUUCCAUCUUACAAGUGAGUCCCCAAUAAAGACGCAAAAUCCAGUAACUGACCUCCUGGUGUCAGGACAUCCUUCCCAAUGACUAUCCGCAUAACCUGAUAUUUUUAGAGCAGAUUUUGACUUCAUCAGUAUUCCCUGCUUUGGUGAUGCUUUCAAAAACUUCAAAACCCUAUGAGUUGCAACUAGGUGUUCUUUUCAUGGUUUGUCCAUAAAUUGUGAUAGAACCUAUACAGCAUAACAGAUAUCUGGUCUGCUGAAAGUCAAGUAUAUCAGCUUUCCAAUCAUUUGCCUGUAGCUUGUAGGGUCUGAUAAUACUUCCUCAUCCUUGACUCUGGAGAGUUUGUGAUUAUAAUCAAUUGGUGUACUUACUGGUUUAGCUCCAAGAAGUCCAUUCUCUUCCAGAAGAUCAAGGGUAUACUUCCUUUGGCAUAUAGAUAUACCUUCAGGGGACUUAGCAACUUCUAACCCCAAAAAAUACUUUAUUGUUCCUAAGUCUUUAAGCUUAAAAAGAGAGUUCAGAAAAUCCUUGACUUUGUUUGAUUCCUGAACUGAUGUGCUGCCAAUAAGAAUAUCAUCUACAUAAACAAGUAAUACUGUAAAUUUUCCAUCCCUUGUUUUCAUAGUGAAUAGUGAAUGAUCUGAGUCUGACUAUUGAAAACCAUACUUCAAAAUGGCUGCAGAGAAUUUUGCAUUCCAUUGCCUUGCUGCCUGCUUCAAACCAUACAGAGAUUUAUGUAAUUUGCAAACCAGUCUUGACUUUGCAGUGUACUCCCCCUUGACAGAAUACCCCUCAGGUAAAUCCAUAUAUACUUCUUCUUCUAAAUCUCCAUUUAGAAAGGCAUUAUUUAUAUCCAGCUAAGACUAAUGCCAAUUACAUGUUGCUGCAAGUGCAAAGAAAAACUCUCACUGUUGUCUGUUUUGCUACAGAACUGAAUGUUUCCUGGUAAUCAAAUCCUGCUACCUGAUUGUAUCCUUCAGCAACCAGGCGUGCUUUGAAUCUUUCCACUUCACCAUUUGCUUUCAGUUUCACCUUAUAUACCCACCUGCAACCAAUGCUAUGACAAUUUGAAGGUAGAGGUACAACAGUCCAUGUAUCAUUAUCCUCCAAAGCAUGCAAUUCAAGAGCCGUGGCCUCUCUCUAGUGGGAAUCAUUCACAGCCUGAUGAUAAGAAACAGGUUCUUGUAUAUGUGACAAUGAAGUGGUAAAGGACUUGUGUGAAGGAGAAAGUUUUUGAGGUGACAGGAAUUUGGCAAUUGGAUAGGAGGUAACAUGAUUGGUUGCUGGUGGUAAUUCUGUAUAGUAUGCUUCCAAAUAUUUUGGAGCAUGUCUGAUUGUUGUACUUUUUCUUGCAGGCACAGAAAGUGUUUUCAUUAGUAGCUAGUUCAGGCUGAUUUGUGCUGUCUGCAAUGGGCAGACUGCUUGAAGGUGAUGAAUCAGGUGAGACAUUAUUGGUAUUUGAAUUGGUAUGGUUCAAUUGGGGUGACAUAGGUUCAGAUAGGUCAAAUUCAACUUGUUCAUGGUUUUGAGAUGGAAUUACUGCAGGGUUAUGGUCAAAAUGAUCAAGAUAUAUGUCAUGCACAGCAGGUGUUUGAUGAAAAGUUAAUGGCUGCUGAUCAUGCUGUUUAAUUCGAAAUGGAAAUGUUUGUUCGUGAAAAAUCACAUUUCUUGAUUUUAGGACGUUGUUAGCACUAAGAUCAUAAACCUUAUAACCCUUCAUGUUAUUUGGAUACCCUAGGAAUAUGCAUUUAGUGGCCCUUUUAUCUAGUUUCUUCCUAUUUUGUGUUAAUGUGAACAUAAAGCACAAACAUCCAAAUACUCUCAAAUGAUCAUACGAAGGCAAUUUGUGAUGGAGGAGCUCAUAUGGUGUUUUAUUGUGAAGAACUUUACUUGGCAGCCUAUUGAUGAUGUGAACUGCUGUCAAAACAGCAUCUCCCCAAAAAUAUAUAGGUACAUUUGAUUGAUGCAGUAGGCCUCUUGCAACUACUAAAAUGUGUUGAUGCUUCCUCUCAACAAUUCCAUUUUGUUGAUGAGCUUCAACACAUGACAACUGGUGAACUAUACCAGUAUUUUCAAAAAAAUAAAGUAAUCCUAGUUCUUUUGCAUUAUCUGUUCCUAUACUUUUAAUGGCAGAAUUGAACUGUUUUUGAACAAAAGCAUUGAAAGAAGGAAUGAUUAUAGAAACUUCUGAUUUAGCUUUCAUUAUGAAAAUCCAGGUAAACCUUGUAUGAUCAUCAACUACAAUUAAAAAAUAGCGUUGACCAGAUAUGGUUGGGUUUUCAUAAGGUCCGCAAAUGUCAACAUGCAUCAGUUCAAAAGGAAUUUUUGUGUUUUUAACGUGUACUGGAAAAGGCAACUUUCUUUGUUUUGCCAAAGGGCGAAUUUCACAAAGUAAUUGAUUUGAACACUUAACAUUUGCACGUUGUUGAUGUAUAAUAUUCAAUUUUUCACAAGGAGCAUGACCAAGUCUGAAAUGACAUAAAUCAAAAGCUUUAUGUCCUGUACUACAGGCAUUAACUGACAAAUUGAAAGGCAACUUGACAAGUUUAUCAAAGGAAUAAUUUGACAAUUCUUGCUCAUCUUUCUUAGGUUCCAUGGCAUACAAUCCUGAAAAGGUCCUAGCUACCCCAAUCACUGUCCAUGAAUGAGUGUCCUGAACGACACAAUAUUUGUCAAUAAAGAGAACAGAGGUAUUUUUUGUUCUAGUGAGUUGUCCUACUGAGACUAGAUUGAAUCUAAAACUUGGAACACAAAAGACAUUUUUUAGAGUCAACAGUGAUGUUAAUUUGACAACUCCUACAUGUGUUACAAUUGCUCUUUUGUUAUUAGGCAGCUGAACAAAACUAUUAGUAACAGGCCUAGCUGAAAUAAACUUGUUUAGAGAAUAAGCAAUAUGAUCUGAUGCUCCUGAGUCCAUAAUCUAGAAAUUUGAUUUUAUCAUGUCAACAUUAACAUUUCUAAAAUUAAAUGGCAUGUUAUUGAUUGUGUUAAAACAUAAAUGGCCUGAAAUAAUACCUGCAAAGGCUGAGUUGAUCAAGGAAGGGUUUCUCUGCAAAGUGUUUGAUGAAAAGUUCUUACCAUCAGAAUCUGUUAAACCAUUCUCACUUAAGAGCUCCAUUAGUCUCCUUACUUGCUACUUGAUGAUGGACAUUUGAGACAUGGAUGAAUUCCCUCCAGACUCUUCUUACUUGUCAAAUUGACUCUCUCCAGUUGAUGAGUCAGUCAAUGUAAAGACAUUGUUUACAGCUGCUUUUCCUUUUCUGACAUUGUUCUUCCCUUUGGUGAAUUUGAAGUCCUCUGAAAAUCCAAUCAGCCUGUAGCACUUCUCCUUUACAUGUCCCUUCUUUCCACAAUGAUUACAAACUAUGUACUUCUUAACUUUCUUCUUUCCUUCUGCUGCAGUGUACAUUGCAGCUGUUUCAAGAGUUGGUUGUGUUCGAAAAAGCAUGCUUCUCUGUGCUUCCUCCCUCAGAACUAGAUUGUAUACUUUGUCAAGAGUUGGAAUAGGAUCCAUGAGAAUUAUUUGGGAUCUCACAACAGAAAAGGAUUUGUUCAAGCCAUUCAAAAACCUGAAAACCAUGUCUUUUUUAUGCUGUUCAGAAUACUUCUUGAAGCAGUUUGGAUUGCAAUUUUCACACUCACAAUGUGGUAAGGGUCUGAAGCUUCUUAACUCCUCCCAUACCCCCUUUAGUUCAAUGAAAUAUGUAUCCACUGGUCGUGAACCUUGUGUUAUGUUGCCAAGAGUGUAUUACAGAUUGCAUAUCCUAGUGUCAUUAGGCUGUGCAAAGAUUUGUUUCAGUGUAGCCUAGAUUUCUAAGGUAGUGUCCAUGUAGAAAACUGUUGAUGCUAUAGGUGGUGAAAUUGAAUCCAAUAGCUAAGCCACUAUUAGGUUGUUACACGGAUCCAAGGGGAGAGCAAAGGAUCUGAAAUGUCUGGUUUGACUAUGGUUCCAUUGAUGAAGCCCAUUUUGUUUCUAACAGAAAGAGCUAACUGGAAAGACCUACUCCAAGUAACAUAGUUGCUUGUGGUCAGCUUGGGGUUAAUCACUAUAGAACCUGGAUGGUCUGUAUGAUGAAUAAAAUAUGGCGAUUGGGGAUCUCUUGUUGGUGAGAUUUGUGUUUGACCAUGGUUUGAGACCUUGACUCAUUCGAUCCAGAUUCAGACAUAGUGUUUUGUAGAUUGACAGAUCAAGUUGAGAAGCAAUGAAAAUCAAAAGAACAAAUGAGCUUGAGUAAAGUUGAUUAUCAGAAACCUUACUAAGAGAGGAAUGCUGAUGAUAAUAUGACAAGAGAUCUCUGCUAUAGAUGCUGUCCGAUCACUAGCUGAAGAGUACUAUUUGCAGGAAUUUUGUGCCCAGCUCUGAUACCAUGUCAGAAAAGAUGAGAGAGCGACGGAGGAUGAUGAGAGAAUGGGAUAUUCUCAUUACCAGAUAGGGAAAAAAUCUUUACAAAGUUUAUAUGCAGAAGUUUAACCUUAAGCUGAAAGAAGACUAAGCUAUUAAAUGCUUAACUAACUAAUCAUUACACUAACUAAAUUUUGAAAAUAAAUUGUACAUAAAACGGUGUAGUUCUGAAGCUUUUGACUCUUAUUGAAACGCUGCGUACAGGCCUCCUUCUUUUCUUCUUACCCCAUUAUUAUUGAAACGGUGCGUCUGGGGUCUUUUUCCUGUGGCUUUCUUCUUUAACCUGAUCACUCUGUUCAGUGAAGCCACUUAUUCAGUUCUUCAAUUCCUUGAUCCUUCAAGUGUGAGCUCAAUACAUAUUGACCCAAUAUCAUCUGAUUCUUGCUUAUUGCAUUUCAAUUAAGGAUUCGUCUCGCUACAUCGUGUGAAAAAAAAGAAAAAUGUCCUUCCCAACAACGUCGAAAUCAGAAAUUCUAUGUGCUUCACAUGAAGCAAAAAACUGUUGGUUGAUAAAUCAUGCGGGCUUUAUCUUGUUUUGCUACUUGCUUUUCUUGUGUGUGUAUUACUUCCCCAAAAUUUUCUACAAAGUUGAAGCAAAAAGUGCAAGGCAUAAUUUUGUUUGAUUGAAAGUGAACAAAUGGCUCAAAUGUAAUGUUGUUCAAACAUAAUUUUCCUUAAGGAAUGAAAGGAUCAUGCAUUUAUGUUAUCUAUGAAAAUUAAAUUUUUGUUUUAAUUCUUCAAACAUAUUGGUUGCUUUUGAAUCCAAAUGCACUUAUUGCUUUGUUAGUUGAAGCAAUAAAGCUAGUAGCAAAAGUAACAACCAGACAGAACUUUAAAUCUUAAGCUUUAGAGUUUGGGCCAAAGACUGGCUGAGCAAAGUAAUAGUAAAACCUUUGCAGAAGUACUCCCUGGAUUGAGUGCAGAGGAGUGAAGUCCUUUGCGUAUAUGAUAAAGUCACUCCAUUAUUGCAGCUUCAGCUGGUUUUCUAUGCAUUUUAAUUGUGAGAAAAAUGAUGGAAAGUAUUAUUGAGUUAUCUGGUGUGAGUAUCCUGGUCUGGACUGUAUAUGCGCCUGAUGUGUUGUAUGCUUGCUAGGCUGGAUCAAAAAUAUACAAAAAUGUAAAUUUACUAGAAAACUGGAAAUUGGAAACAGAAAGGUUGUUUUCUAGCACCCUACCAUUUGUUUUGAAAUCCUACUUAAUGCCAUGGAAUUUGAUAGAAUUCCAUAGGUCUAAGAACCACACAUCAAAGGACAGAUAGAAGUGUAAUUCCACAAGAGGUAUGUGCUUUAGAAGUGAGCACAUGGAUUUCAGUUUGUUAAAACUUAGACUAUAGAGAUAUUGUUUUCACAUGGAUUUCAUUUUUCUAGGGGUUGCUGGAGGUGCCUACAUGGUAAUGGCCUAAUACUAACUUUAAACACAAUGUGUAGGAACUAUGUUUUAAAUGAAUUUAUGUAGUCUGCAGCCUCUUUUUUUUAAAAAAAAAAAGAAAUUAUAUGCUAAAUCAAGUUUGAAGCUUUAUCAAUUCUGUUGGGUCUGUCUGUAUGAAGAAAGUUUUCCAGACUUUUUUCUUCUCAUUAUUUGCUAUAUUAUGUUGUUUUCUGUUGGUUAAAUGAGAAUCAUUGUUUUNAGCAUUGUCAUUUGUUUUUAUUACUCUCUCUCUCUCUCUCUCUCUCUCUCUCGUCCUGAAAAUUGUUCUGUUAGCUGAAAUUCGGUGCCCAUUGUGGACACUUCAUUUUAUACUCUUUAUUUUUUUUCGAAGGGAUGCAGUUUAUAGAUGUAGAGGUUGCCAUUGAUUUUAUUGGGAUUACUAGAAAGAGGUAUUGAAAACAGUGUUUUAAUGUUUGUUGCAUCUAGCAACUAAUUAGUUUUUUUUUUUUUUAAUCUGAAGAAUUUAUGUAGAUCUUUAUGUGUUCUCAGUAUUAAGAGACCAGUAAUUUGGUUACAUUCAUAGAAGUUGUAGAGAUGUGAAACUUCAGGAUCCAAUCGGGGUUGGGGACUUGUACCUUGGCCUGCAAUUCCCCUUCCUUAAAGGGUGGGGCCUGUCCUUGAACUCAAAGGCCUAAGCGUAGAGGUGUUUGAAUGUUUGUUGCAUCUAGCAACUAAUAAGUUUUUUUCUUUUCUGAAGAAUUUAUGUGGAUCUUUAUGUGUUCUCAGUAUUAAGAGACCAGUAAUUUGGUUACAUUUGUAGAAGUUGUAGAGGUGUGAAACUUCAGGAUCCAAGUGGGGUUGGGGAGUUGUACGUUGGCCUGCAAUUCCCCUACCUUAAGGGGUGGGGCCUGUCCUUGAACUCAAAGGCCUAAGGGUAGAGGUGUUGAAAGUAAAACUUCUUUGUUGUUGCCCCCAGAAGGGAAUGGGGAUGGGGUGUUGAUAAAUUUACUUGUUAUUGAUGAUAUUAGUCUUUAGAAAGCUGCUGUCCUUGUUUAAAAAUUGGAUGGAUUUUGGAUUUUAAGACGUGGGCUUCAUUCUUGCAGCACGUCUAAAGAGAUAUCCGAUUUAGAAGUAGAGCUUUCGUCUAUAAGAAAUCUGCUUUCGAUGCAGGCAACAUUAAUUCAUGGUUUGGCCGAGGGAGUUCAUAUAGAUUCAUUGUCCCCCAAAGCUUCUGAAGGCCGUACUGCUAAUGGCUUAUUGGAUAUUGAAGAUAGUGAAUCUUCAGAUCUAGAGAAAUGGUCAGCUGAAUUCCCUGAUCUCCUGGAUGUUUUGUUAGCUAAGAAGAGAGUAGAUGAAGCUCUGGCAGCCCUUGAUGAAGGAGAACGUGCAGUUGCUGAAGCAAAGGAAACAAAUUCAUUGAGUUCUUUGGCACUUACAUCUCUGGAGACUGCUAUUAUAGAGCGCAACCAAAAGUUGGCUGACCAACUCGCUGAAGCUGCUUGUCAACCUUCUACACGCGGUGCUGAACUUCAUGCAUCAAUAUUGGCUCUUAAAAAGCUAGGUGAUGGACCACGUGCUCAUACUUUGCUCCUUAAUGCACACUUCCAAAGAUAUCAAUAUAACAUGCUUAGCCUUCGCCCAUCAAGCACCUCAUAUGGAGGAGCAUAUAGUGCUGCCCUUUCAUAGUUGGUGUUCUCUGCUAUUGCUCAAGCUGCUAGUGAUUCCUUGGCUAUUUUUGGUAAGGAACCAGCUUAUACUUCGGAGCUUGUAAUGUGGGCACUGAAGCAAACGGAGGCUUUUGCCCAUCUUGUUAAAAAGACAUGCAUUGGCUUCUUCAGCAGCUGCUGGUGGUCUAAGGGCAGCUGCAGAGUGUGUUCAGAUAGCUUUAGGUCAUUGCUCACUGUUGGAAGCUCAUGGCUUGGCACUUUGUCCUGUGCUCUUGAAACUCUUUAGGCCUAGUGUUGAGCAAGCACUUGAUGCUAAUCUGAAAAGAAUUGAAGAAAGCACUGCAGUUCUGGCUGCUGCUGAUGAUUGGGUGCUAACAUAUCCCCAGUUGGUACUCGUCAAUCUGGCUGGCCCUCUAGUGCAUCCCUUGGUAAUACAACAGCAUUUCAGCAUAAACUAACAAGUAGUGCUCAUUGAUUCAAUUCAAUGGUCCAGGUGAACAGUUAAUUUAAUAUAAAUGUAUCUUGUCUUUGUUAUGUGUGUAUACUUGUCCAUGCAUAUCUGACUGACCUGUUUGUGCUUUUUUUUUUUUUUGAAUUUGAUCUUGUUAUCUGCCUUCUCUUUUUGAUAAAUCAUGGAUGAAGGGAAUAACUUUUCUUAAAGUGGUUCUUUAGCCUGAUAAUUGGAUUCCAAAUUGCAAGGCGAAUCUUGUGGUUAAGAUACUAGUAAUUUGAUACCUAAUUUAUCAUACUUUUCUUUGGUUCUGCAGGUUUUGAAACUACUUUUGUUUAAAUAUUCAGGGUGCCUUUUUUAGUUGGUCCCACUUAGUCUUUUCACUCAUAAAUCUUUUGGCAUUUCAUCUAUUCAAAUUCACUCUUCCAAAUUUGUGUUCUCCAAUGGUGUGGGGAUCCUUUGGGCUUAUGGAGCUCACUAGUGUUGAUGGGGCUUUAUGGAAUGGUUUUGGUUAGAUUAAAUAGGUUGAAAUAUGGAAAAGAGUAGGAUAAGUGGGUUUUAGCCAUAGAAAUUCUAGUUCUUCAUCUGUGAAGAAAAAUUAGAGGUGGAUGGCAUUUGUUUGUAAGAUCAUUGAUGGAGAUUGGACAUAGCACAUAGGAGACUGUGGAUGGCGUUUGUUUGUAGAUUGAUGUUUUAUGCAUCUCUCUUUGUUCAUUUUGUUAUGUAAUGGCAUUAUAUCCUUUGACUCAUUGUGAUGUCUUUUCUGCUUGCACUUAUAGGAGUUUUUUGAGGAUGUGGGACCACUGUUAAGCAUGCAGUUGGGAGGGCAAACACUGGAAGGGUUGUUUCAGGUGUUUUACUCAUAUGUAAACAUGCUCAUAAAAGCAUUACCUGGUUCAAUGGCUGAAGAUGCAAACUUUGAAGGUACUGGAAAUAAAAUUGUGCAAAUGGCUGAGACUGAGGCCCAACAAAUUGCUUUGCUAGCAAAUGCAUCAUUAUUGGCAGACGAACUUCUCCCACGUGCAGCCAUGAAGCUUUCCCCAAAUCAGGCUAGUUACAAGGAUGACCACUGUAGAAGAACUUCAGAUAGGCAAAACCGUCAUCCUGAGCAACGAGAAUGGAAGAGGCGCUUUGUGAGUUCAGUUGAGAGACUAAAGAAUACAUUUUGUCAACAACAUGCCCUAGAUCUCAUUUUCACGGAAGAGGGUGAUAGCCAUCUUACUGCAG
rnacentral:lncRNA from 1 species